rnacentral:lncRNA from 1 species
CCAAAACUUGGUGUCACAGUAUCACAGACUGUCUAAGAUUUACUACAUACAAGGUCUGAAGAAUAACAGUACAUUUUUCUUAAAUAAGGAAAAUGAAACAGGAAAUAGAGAUAGAGGGAGACGCCAGGGCCUGGAGACACCAGCAGGUCUACCUUGGUUCUCCGGGUGGACUAAAGGAAGCCCUCCAACUAAAACUGUUGUCUAGUACCUGAAUCUGUGCAAAAGAGAGAACAGAGUGUAGUAUCGUUACAACCGACCCUAUGUGCUGGUAAGUGUCUAGCCUAACAUCGGCGAAGUAGUGACGAAGCUAGGACCAGACUACAAACUAAACAUGUGCAGUUCAAAUAUAUAUAUAUAUAUAUAUAUAUAUAUAUAUAUAUAUAUAUAUAUAUAGACAUACACACACACACACACUGCUGUGGCAUGUAGCCCGACCCAUAGCAUAUCAUGCCCUUACAAAUGGGGAUUUGACUCCUCUCAGUCAAUAUAGUUUUGGCCUCACGGGCAAGCUAAGAUAAUACGGGGUUUCCAAUCCACCUAUUAUUAAAAUUAGGAUUUACCAAGAUAACAACUCUGAAUAAAAACUGUCAAAUAAGGAAAAAAAACAUAACUCGGACAUAAAUAAAGAACCAGAAAUCAAUAAGUGCACGGCAUCAACGUUCGUGCUUUUACUCUCAUCCUUACCAAGCAAUAAUAUAAUAAAAUUUGCACGGCAUCAUCCUUCGUGCUUUUACUCUCAUCCUCACCAAGCAAUGAUGUAACAAUAAUGUACACGGCAUCACCCUUCGUGCUUUUACUCUUAUCCUCAUCAAGAAAUGAAAUAACAAAAAGUGCACGUUAUCACCCUUCGUGCUUUUAAUCUCUUUCCUCACAUAAAAUCAAUAGAAUUGGCACGGAAUGGUACAUCGUACGGCACAACAUCAACCUUUGUGCUUUAACACUCGUUCCUCACAAUAACAAAUAAUACAAGGCAUAACCCUUUGUGCUUUAACACUCUUCCUUACCCAAACAACAAUCACAAACAAAAAGCAAGGGAGUAAACAAGUAAUAAUAGAAAUCCCGACAAGGGAACAAUACCAAUAAAACUCACCAUCCCAGCAAGGGAACAAUUUGAUAACUCUUUCUUUUUUCUUUCACUUUUACUUCACAACUCACUUCACCACUUGAGCCAAUGCUCCAAAGGGUUCAAUCAUCUCAUAUACUUUCACAAUUUGUAUUAUANNNNNNNNNNNNNNNNNNNNNNNNNNNNNNNNNNNNNNNNNNNNNNNNNNNNNNNNNNNNNNNNNNNNNNNNNNNNNNNNNNNNNNNNNNNNNNNNNNNNNNNNNNNNNNNNNNNNNNNNNNNNNNNNNNNNNNNNNNNNNNNNNNNNNNNNNNNNNNNNNNNNNNNNNNNNNNNNNNNCAAUCAUCUUAUAUACUUUCACAAUUUGUAUUAUAACUCAAGCUAAUGCUCUUCAAUGUUCAAAGGUCACCAUGUCUUUCCCAGACUUUUCACAACAUGUAGAAAUCAUCACCAAGGCACGAAAGAAACAAAGAAAUCAAGAUAUUCACAAUGUAAGACUCACGGUCAUGUUGGACAUCAACGUAUAGAUACUCGUCACCAUGCCUAUACUUCGUACUCAAAAAUAAUCACAUAUCAGAUAGGACUCAACUCCUAAUCCCUCAAGUUAAGGUUAGACAAAACACUUACCUCGAUGCCUUGAACACAACUCGCAUCUCAAUUAUAGCUUUUCCCCUUGGUUCCACUAUCAAUUCGUUCGUAUCUAAUCAUAAAUCACUUAUUUACAUCAACAAACUCUAAACGAAUCAACCCCAAUGUAUGAAAAUGCGUUUUCCAAAGUUUACCCAAAAAGUCAAAAAUUGUCCCCGGGCCCACGUGGUCAAAACUCGAGGUUCAACCAAAACCCGAUUACCCAUUCCCCCAUGAACUCAAAUAUAUAAUCUGUUUUGAAAGUAGACCUCAAAUUGAGGUCAAAAUCCCCAAUUUUUUGAAAACCUAGGUUCUACCGAAAACACUCAAUCUCCCCCAUGAAAAUCCUUGAUUUUAAGUUGAAAUCAUAAUAAAAGAUGCUAAUGAGUGAAUAAAACUAGCUAAAAAUGACUUGCAAUUAAUUUGGAGAAGAAAGGUUACUUGAAAAAUUGCCUCUUAUAUUUUAGAGUUUUGAAAAAUAAAAAAUAACUGAAAAUCACGUCUAUUUAUACACCUGGGAGACCCCCUGUGCGGACUGCACUAAAUGGACCGCGACCGCACAGGCUAUCUGAAGACCUGCAGUUCAACACCCUGUGUGGACCGCACAAAGGCGAUCGCGGUCGUACAGCCUAGAUUGUGGAUCGCAGAAAGGCGACCACGGCUGCACAACCUCCAUCACUGACCGCACAAAGGCAAUCGCAACCGCGCUGGCCCCUCCGCAGUCACACGAGAUUUCUCGCGGACCGCACAAGAGGGUUUAGAGGCCCGCAACUUCCUGAACCUGCAACUUCUGAUUUUGAAGUCUAAGGCAUCUCGGAACCUACCCGAAACUCAACUUCAAAAAUAUUCUACGAACAUAUUCGUGUAAUCAAAUCACUAAAAUAACACCACGAAAAUUGAAUUAGACCUCAAGAUCACUGAAAUUUCUAAAAACUCCUUUAAACAUAAAUUUCCCAAUUAAGGUCCGAAUCAUGUCAAACGACGCCCGCUUUGAACCAAAUUUUACAGAAAUGUCUUAGAACAUAUAUAAGACUCGUAUCGGGUACCGGAACCAAAAUAUGAGCCCGAUACCAUCACUUUCUAAUCGCAUUUCAUUUCCAAUUUUCUUAAACAAUUUCAGAAAAAUAAUUUCACUUAAAAAGGCAUUUCUCAGGAUUGGGACCUCGGAAUUCGAUUCGGGGAAUAUGACCACGUCCUAUAUUUUCCUACGGGCCCUACGGAACCGUCAAAUAACGGGUCUGUCUGCACAAAACGUUGAACAAAGUCAAAUUUAUUCAUUUUAACAUCAAAACUUAGUAUUUUUCACAGAAUUUCACAUUUAAGCUUUCUGGUUGUGAGCUCGGACUAUGCACGGAAAUUGAGGCAGCUCUAAAAGAGGUUUUUAAGGCCUCAGAAGCACAAAAUUUAUUAGAACUAAGUGAUGAUCUUUUGGGUCGUCAUAAUUAGUUUUCACUGACUUUUUAAAGCCUGUUAAAUCAGAACAACAUUAAGUAACAGAAAUAUUUUCAGAAUUGCAAGAUUUGAAAACUCCCUAUAGGCUUGCCCAUAUGCGUAACACUGAUAAAGACAUUUUGUAUAGCAAAGCAAGGCAGGUUUUUUUAAAAAGAAAAGACUCUUGAAUCCUUAUAGGCAUGCUGUCUAAUGAUAGAUUAAGGCAGUUUUUAAAGAAUUUAUUUUUGGGGAAACAACUAAGUAAACUAGCUUCGAAGUGAAUUAAUCAUGAACUGGAUUGAUUUAUUUAAACUAAACUGGUUUAAAUCCAUAGGUAGGAUUUCUAGUGUUGUUCCCUAUAGGCAUGAUAUCUAAUUAUUUAAAACUAGUUUUAGAAGCUUGUAGGCAUGAUGACAAAUGAAAACACAUGUAAACACUCAUUAUAACAGAAGUUAAACUGGACCAUAUAUUAUAGGCAUGGUUUCUAUUAUUGGAACAACUUGAAACCUAUUGGCAUGAUUUCUAACAUGACAAGGCAAACAUAGCAAAUAUAUAAAGUCCUGUAGGCAUGGUUUCUACUUGGUAAGGCAAACAUGGCAAAUCUAAAGUCUUAUAGGCAUGGCUUCUACACAUAUUACCCCACAAACAUGUAACUACCCACCCUUUUUCACUAGUUACCCCAAUAUUUCUUUACAAAUUAAUACAAAUCAUAUGAAUGAAUUACAUAAGUAGAUAAGAAAAAAUAAGAAGUAAUAGGGAGCCUACAAAUAGGCCAAGAUUUCCAAGCCUCCAACAGCCUCAAAUGCCUAAAUUCCAUAGACAAUAUCAUUGUCAAGGUGCAUCAAAGUUCCCUAAGGAUCUCAAGGACCCUGGACAGUGCUUUCACCUAGACUUGGUAACCAAAUUGAGUAAGUGCAGUACGGAAUAACCAACCUCAGUAUUCCAGAGUUCAGAUAGUUCUUAAGAGGAUCUCAAGGUAGUACACAUACUAGAGGAGGCAGAAUCUAGUGAAUUAGGAGUAGAGUGAGAGUGCUUGACACAAUUUGAAAGGUUUUGGUGGGAAAUUAGUGUUAAAGAGAUUUGCUUGAAAUAGUUUUGUAAAUAAGAGGUUUGUUUAGUAAAACAGCUUUUGAGAAUAGUCAAGUAACUCAACAAACAGCAUGUCAGUCAAGAAAGUUCAGCAAACACUCAGGGAACAAGUCUCUACACAGGGUCAAUUGGGGGUUGGGGACAAAUAGACAGGUAUGAUGAACACAUAACAGGCAGAAGUUCUUUGCCCUUAGUGAAGGUGGUGAGACAUAGAUUCAGGAGUGUUAAUUAGAACAUAGUUACAGAACUAGAGAUGCCUAGGGGAUUCAUGAGAGUGGGAGAUAGUAAGUUAUUGGAUUUUACACUAAACAUGGUUGAGCCUAAUAUUAAAACAACUUGGGCAAUAGCCCAACUAGAACUAGUAGACAGGCAUUAAUUAGAGUAGAGUCAAGUCACUAGUUCAUGAAAGCAUACUAAAGCAAAGAGAUUAAUUACAUGUUGAACAGCAAAAUCAUAGGUAAAAACAAAUCAAGAACAUGAUGAACUGAAGUAUUAAAAGAAACAUAUUAUUUUUGGGGUUGAAUUGAAACCAGAGCAUACUAGUGUAGAGACAAUAAACACAAGGUAAAGAAGAGGAGAGCACAAUAAUUAGCCUUGGCUUAUAGCCGGCUAAUUCAAAUGGUAGCCAGUAACAAAGAAAGAAAGCAUAAAGUUUUUAGGGUGAGAGAGAGAGUUUUGAAACAAUGUCUCGUGUCCUUGUGUUAAAUGAGAGCGUGUGUAUAUACAGUAGUUCGAAAUUAGGUAAAAUAAGGCAAGAAUCACAGUAGCAUAGUAAUUAUGGAACCAAAUACUAAUCAAAAUCAAAUCAAUGCAAGUACUCCUUAAUUAUGGGGUAAUCAACUAACGAUAAUUGGCAUAAAUGAUUAAGGAAAGAAAUCAAGUAGAGCAUCAAGUACAGAAUAGACAAUUAGGGGUAGGUACAUAGGGGUUCAAUUAAGGAAACAACUAAAUAAAAAUCGGUAAAAUAGUCGGUUAACCAAAUAAGGUAAGAAAACAAAAUAAAGUUGCAGAGUAUGGAAAUAAUAAAAGUCAGUGCGUAGUAGAUCAGUGAAUCAAGGACUCGAAAUCACUUAUUUAAGGAGAGUAACAUGGGUUAACAUGAAUUAAGCAAGUAAACCAAGUUUAAAUAGGAGAAUCGAAAGUAUAAAGGGAAGUUUUCAAAUCAAGCCAAGAAAUAGGGAGCUCAGAGUUAAUCAAAGAAAGAGUCAUGAGUCAUGUUUUAGCAUAUAAAUAGAGUGAGAUAGGAGUAACCAAACAUAGCAAGCAAAGAGGAAAUAUUGACCGAUGAAACCCCAGCACAUAGAGCUGAUGUAAGUUAGGCACAGAAACUCAGUACGAACAGAUUCGAGGCGAGAUAGUCACAGAAACUCAAACAAGCAACGAUCUAUCAUGCUAAUACACAGAAUCAAACGAAGAAAUAGAAAAUUGGGGCUUUCAACAUAGACGAGUUGAAGGGGUAGUAAAAUCAUAGAAUCGGUCAAAAAUAUGCAAGAAAUAGAAGUUUAAACAUAAAGAAUCAGUUUAAAUAAAGUAUUAGAAGAAGUUUCGAAAAUCCUAAUUUUAUAAAAAGAAGAAAACACUUGAAAUUAUAUGGUUCUUAUAAAGAGUUCCAAGGAUAGAGUAAAAUAUCAAAGAAACAAACUCAAAUCAUUUUAAAUUUGUACAGAUCUAGGAGAUGUAGGAAAAAUUAGGGUUUCAGAAGAAACCCAAAUAGAGAUGAAAGAACCUGUCUAGAAUCCCAAGGAUCGUAACAAAUACGCCGUGAUUUUGCUCGAAAAUAUACUGGAGUAGCUAAGAACAAAAAAGUGACGAAUCCUAGGUGCAAGUCGGUAUGGCCCAGGGCCCUUGAAGACCUUAGAGAUGGCAAGCAUGACGUUAGAGGAGUCACUGGAGGCUUAGGAGUUGAUGGGAGAUCACCGGAAAAGACCGGAGAUGAGAGGUCGGCAGUUAAAGGGGCUAGGCUUAGGUUGAGUUACUGAGAGAGGAGAGGAGAUGAGAGAAUACAGAGGCGGUG